ensembl:ncRNA Y71F9B.18 ncRNA
GAGUGACAGGAUAGUGUGAAAUAUGUAAAUCAUCCCGACAGAGCUGCCCCCGGCUCUGCGCGAAUGCUCAUAGAGUCUCUUGACGGGCAGGGCUCGGGAAUGAGCAAACAGGAGCCCCAUGUGCUCGUCCGGUGGGGAGAGGCGCCAAUUGUUUUUUCAAUUGUGU